rnacentral:rRNA from 1 species
GACGAACGCUGGCGGCGUGCUUAACACAUGCAAGUCGAACGGGAUUUAGUAAACGGAAGCCUCGGUGGAAGAUUACUAAUGAGAGUGGCGAACGGGUGAGUAACGCGUGAGCAACCUGCCUAUGACAGUGGGAUAGCCUCGGGAAACCGGGAUUAAUACCGCAUAAAAUCGUAGAAACACAUGUUUCAACGGUCAAAGAUUUAUCGGUCAUAGAUGGGCUCGCGUCUGAUUAGCUAGUUGGUGAGAUAACAGCCCACCAAGGCGACGAUCAGUAGCCGGUCUGAGAGGAUGAACGGCCACAUUGGAACUGAGACACGGUCCAAACUCCUACGGGAGGCAGCAGUGGGAAAUAUUGCACAAUGGGGGAAACCCUGAUGCAGCGACGCCGCGUGAACGAAGAAGGUAUUCGCAUCGUAAAGUUCUGUCCUAUGGGAAGAUAAUGACAGUACCAUAGAAGAAAGCUCCGGCUAAAUACGUG